rnacentral:tRNA from 1 species
UGAGCUAUAGAUCAGUGGUAGACCACAUACCUGGCAUGAGUGAGGCCCUGAGUUCAAUCCCUAGAACUACAG